rnacentral:rRNA from 1 species
AGAGUUUGAUCCUGGCUCAGGAUGAACGCUGGCGGCGUGCUUAACACAUGCAAGUCGAACGAAGCAGCUUCUGCUGCAAGAAAGCUGACUUAGUGGCGGACGGGUGAGUAACGCGUGGGUAACCUGCCUCAUACAGGGGGAUAACAGUUGGAAACGACUGCUAAGACCGCAUAACCCGCUAGUGUCGCAUGACACGGACGGAAAAUAUUUAUAGGUAUGAGAUGGGCCCGCGUCUGAUUAGCUAGUUGGUAAGGUAACGGCUUACCAAGGCGACGAUCAGUAGCCGACUUGAGAGAGUGAUCGGCCACAUUGGGACUGAGACACGGCCCAAACUCCUACGGGAGGCAGCAGUGGGGAAUAUUGGACAAUGGGGGAAACCCUGAUCCAGCCGACGCCGCGUGAGUGAAGAAGUAUUUCGGUAUGUAAAGCUCUAUCAGCAGGGAAGAUAAUGACAGUACCUGACUAAGAAGCCCCGGCUAACUACGUGCCAGCCGCCGC